UACGUAGGGUGCGAGCGUUAAUCGGAAUUACUGGGCGUAAAGCGUGCGCAGGCGGUUUUGUAAGCCAGAUGUGAAAUCCCCGGGCUUAACCUGGGAAUGGCAUUUGGGACUGCAAGGCUUGAGUGCGGCAGAGGAGACUGGAAUUCCUGGUGUAGCGGUGAAAUGCGUAGAGAUCAGGAAGAACACCGGUGGCGAAAGCGUUCUGCUAGACCUGUACUGACACUGAGGGACGAAAGCUAGGGGAGCGAAUGGG
rnacentral:rRNA from 1 species